GAUGAACGCUAGCUACAGGCUUAACACAUGCAAGUCGAGGGGAAACGACAUCGAAAGCUUGCUUUUGGUGGGCGUCGACCGGCGCACGGGUGAGUAACGCGUAUCCAACCUGCCCACCACUUGGGGAUAACCUUGCGAAAGUAAGACUAAUACCCGAUGAUAUCCCACGAAGGCAUCCGAAUGGGAUUAAAGAUUUAUCGGUGAUGGAUGGGGAUGCGUCUGAUUAGCUUGUUGGCGGGGUAACGGCCCACCAAGGCAACGAUCAGUAGGGGUUCUGAGAGGAAGGUCCCCCCACAUUGGAACUGAGACACGGUCCAAAACUCCUACGGGAGGCAGCAGUGAGGAAUAUUGGUCAAUGGGCGAGAGCCUGAACCAGCCAAGUAGCGUGCAGGAUGACGGCCCUAUGGGUUGUAAACUGCUUUUAUAAGGGAAUAAAGUGGGUCUCGUGAGACUUUUCGCAUGUACCUUAUGAAUAAGGACCGGCUAAUUCCGUG
rnacentral:rRNA from 1 species